UACGUAGGGUGCGAGCGUUGUCCGGAAUUACUGGGCGUAAAGAGCUCGUAGGUGGUUUGUCGCGUUGUUCGUGAAAACCGGGGGCUUAACCCUCGGCGUGCGGGCGAUACGGGCAGACUGGAGUACUGCAGGGGAGACUGGAAUUCCUGGUGUAGCGGUGAAAUGCGCAGAUAUCAGGAGGAACACCGGUGGCGAAGGCGGUUCUCUGGGCAUGUUCUGACGCUGAGGAGCGAAAGUGUGGGGAGCGAACAGG
rnacentral:rRNA from 1 species